rnacentral:rRNA from 1 species
AAUGAACGCUGGCGGCGUGCUUAACACAUGCAAGUCGAGCGAGAAAGUCCCUUCGGGGGCGAGUACAGCGGCGGACGGGUGAGUAACACGUGAGAACCUGCCCUUUAGUGAAGAAUACUCUCGAGAAAUCGAGCUUAAUACUGCAUAAGUCCCUUCGGGGAGAAAGGCGUCUUUUAUGUCGCCGCUCAUGGAUGGGCUUGCGGGCUAUCAGCUUGUUGGUGAGGUAAUGGCUCACCAAGGCGAUGACGGCUAACCGGUCUGAGAGGAUGAUCAGCCACACUGGAACUGCGACACGGUCCAGACUCCUACUGGAGUCAGCAGUGGGGAAUAUUGGACAAUGGGCGCAAGCCUGAUCCGGCCAUGCCGCGUGAGUGAAGAAGGCCUUCGGGUUGUAAAGCUCUUUUGUCCGGAAAGAAAAGCUCUCGGUUAAUACCCGGGGGUCCUGACGGUACCGGAAGAAUAAGCACCGGCUAACUUCGUGCCAGCCGCCGCAGUAAAAC